GACGAACGCUGGCGGCGUGCCUAAUACAUGCAAGUAGAACGCACAGUUUAUACCGUAGCUUGCUACACCAUAAACUGUGAGUUGCGAACGGGUGAGUAACGCGUAGGUAACCUGCCUGGUAGCGGGGGAUAACUAUUGGAAACGAUAGCUAAUACCGCAUAAUAUUGAUUAUUGCAUGAUAAUUGAUUGAAAGAUGCUAUUAUCACAACCACAUAUGGCUCUGCGUUAUUUUAGCUAGUAGGUGAGAUAACGGCUCACCUAGGCGACGAUACAUAGCCGACCUGAGAGGGUGAUCGGCCACACUGGGACUGAGACACGGCCCAGACUCCUACGGGAGGCAGCAGUAGGGAAUCUUCGGCAAUGGACGAAAGUCUGACCGAGCAACGCCGCGUGAGUGAAGAAGGUUUUCGGAUCGUAAAGCUCUGUUGUAAGAGAAGAACGGGUGUGAGAGUGGAAAGUUCACACUGUGACGGUAUCUUACCAGAAAGGGACGGCUAACUACGUG
rnacentral:rRNA from 1 species